rnacentral:rRNA from 1 species
AAGUCGUAACAAGGUCUCCGUUGGUGAACCAGCGGAGGGAUCAUUACUGAGUACUACACUCUCUACCCUUUGUGAACUAUUAUACCUGUUGCUUCGGCGGCGCCCGCAAGGGUGCCCGCCGGUCUCAUCAGAAUCUCUGUUUUCGAACCCGACGAUACUUCUGAGUGUUCUUAGCGAACUGUCAAAACUUUUAACAACGGAUCUCUUGGCUCCAGCAUCGAUGAAGAACGCAGCGAAACGCGAUAUGUAAUGUGAAUCGCAGAAUUCAGUGAAUCAUCGAAUCUUUGAACGCACAUGGCGCCUUCCAGUAUCCUGGGAGGCAUGCCUGUCCGAGCGUCGUUUCAACCCUCGAGCCCCUGUGGCCCGGCGUUGGGGAUCUGCCACGGCAGGCCCCUAAAACCAGUGGCGGACCCGAAGGGCCCUCUCCUUUGCGCAGUAGCAUUCGCCUCGCAUCGGGAGUCCUCGGCGUCCUGCCUCUAAACCCCCCACAAGCCCGCUUCGGCGGCACCAAGGUUGACCUCGGAUCAGGUAGGAAUACCCGCUGAACUUAA